rnacentral:rRNA from 1 species
GGGUUGUGAGGUUAAGCGACUAAGCGUACACGGUGGAUGCCUUGGCAGUCAGAGGCGAUGAAGGACGUGCUAAUCUGCGAUAAGCGUCGGUAAGGUGAUAUGAACCGUUAUAACCGGCGAUUUCCGAAUGGGGAAACCCAGUGUGUUUCGACACACUAUCAUUAACUGAAUCCAUAGGUUAAUGAGGCGAACCGGGGGAACUGAAACAUCUAAGUACCCCGAGGAAAAGAAAUCAACCGAGAUUCCCCCAGUAGCGGCGAGCGAACGGGGAGGAGCCCAGAGCCUGAAUCAGUGUGUGUGUUAGUGGAAGCGUCUGGAAAGGCGCGCGAUGCAGGGUGACAGCCC